rnacentral:rRNA from 1 species
UACAGAGGGUGCAAGCGUUGUUCGGAAUUAUUGGGCGUAAAGCGCGUGUAGGCGGCAGCGCAAGUCGGGCGUGAAAUCCCACGGCUCAACCGUGGAAGUGCACUCGAAACUGCGCAGCUAGAGUCCUGGAGAGGAAGGUGGAAUGCUUGGUGUAGAGGUGAAAUUCGUAGAUAUCAAGCGGAACACCGGUGGCGAAGGCGGCCUUCUGGACAGUGACUGACGCUGAGAUGCGAAAGCGUGGGGAGCAAACAGG